rnacentral:misc_RNA from 1 species
GUGUGCGUACACGGCCGCUGUCCGACAGCCAUCAUCGAAUGCCCGCAUGAAUUAGUUGUGAUGCUAGCGCUGGUGUUUGCGGCUGAUUCUCCGUGAAGCAAGGAUACCGUACACACAGACACACACACAAACACACACACACACACCGCUUCUUAUCUAGUUCUCUGCUCUCAGCUCACUCCCCUUCUUUUUGCUGAAGGGAUACCGCAGAGGAAGUGACUGAUCGACCUGCGCCAUCACCGAAGCUCUCUCUUUGCCGCUUUUUUUUCAUUGCCUGUCUGUAGUGCACCCGCUGGUUUUCUUCCUCGCUGCCACUGCUUAGCUUUUUUUUCAUUUGUCCUUCGCGUUUGUGUGCCCGGGUGCGUUGUUGACAGACGAGCACUAGCUCUCACGAUCGCCUACCCGCUGCUCUAUUUUGCUCCAGUUUGUGCUGCGGUCACUCAACCCUUGUCUCUCUCUCUCUCUCCGCCUUACUAUCGUGUUCAUAGGCGGACACACAAGCCUGUGUGCGCGCCCUUCUCUCGCUGCUAGUAGUCAUCGACACUGCAUCGCGGCAAAAAACUGGGCCGUGCGCCUCGAGGUCGUGGUGCCGAUUGAAGGCGGGGAACGACAUAAAAACAAAGGCGGCUUCCUCUCCAUACGCACCCACCGCAUCGAGCUUAUGCUUGCCGCCUCCGGCCUCCGUGCCGACCGGCCUGACUUGGCCGAACCGACCAGCUUCUUUGCGGCUUUGCAGAUUCUUCGGUCCGAAGACCCGUACUAUUUGAGCAUUACACACCCUUCCACCGAACAAGUCGACUACUUGAAUGGAGUUAUCAAGUGUUUGCGUCUGCAGCUGGAUGGUGGGGUAGAUGAAGCGACGGGUGACAAGACUGCGUACGAGCUCGCCGUCGCGCUUCUGUGGCACUCCGACACGUUGCUCAUCGAGGAAGGCGUGCAGCUGAUGGAGUACUUGCUGAAGGAGCGCUGGGCCCAGUACUGGUCCACGGCGAUCCGCAGUCGACCCAGCGCUGCGGUUGGCGACGACCAGGACGAACAUGACGAGGCUGUUCGCAGCCAGGUGGCGAAGAGCGUGCCAGACGAGGACGACCGCGUCGAUGACGAAUGGGUGGACAUCUUCGGCAGCCCAGCUGAGGGUCAAUGUGCGAACCGCAGUUGUAAUGCAGCAGUCGCGCAUCCCUGUUCUGCUCAUCGCACGGGUAACACAAUGGCCAAGAGGGCCGUAGACUCUGGAACGCAGGCGAUCUUGCGUGGCUCCGCUGUCCAGUUCGCCACGGCCCCGCCGCCGCCAGAGAGCGAAUGCGGGUCGAUGCCGCCAUCGCUGGUGCGUGACCGCGGACCGUCCGCCGCUCUCACGGAAGGCGACUCUGGCACGACAGUCGGCUCAUCCUGCGCAUACUCCACUGGUGCUUCUGUGAUGGCCAUCACACAGGACAUGCAGAAGUCGUUGAAUUCGUUCCGCACAGGUCCGGGCACGGCAAUGCCAAGCACUGACAAACACGCGCUGAGUUCUACUGACGCGCAUUCGCAUUACGAGCGUCUGGCGAAGUGCUACUACAACCUCGCCGUCGGCUACACCAAGAUCCGCAAGAACGAAAAGGCUCUCUUCUAUAUUAGCAACAUGCUUCGGCUCAGCCCCCGCAGCGAGGAGGGGCUGAUGCUGCGGCGUCUCCUGUGCGCGCGCCUGUACGUGCGACAAAUCUUUAUUUUCUCUGUCCCGCUGCUUGCUUUAGGCUUGCUCUUUCUGUAGGGUGGGCGGUGGUGACGUGGUGGCGGCAUGAAAGUUGUUGAAGGAACAUGGUGAGAAAGAGCGACGAGCCAGGGCUGCGAUGCACUGGCACAGCAGUGGAGCGACUCGCCAAGGUGCAUGGGAGUGUGGGGCAGGGAUCGCGCUUGGUGGUGCCCUGGCGCUAGCACGUGUGUGUGUAUGUGUCUGCCUUUCUGUGUGUUCGUGGCUUCGCGCAUACGUGUGCUUCGCAUCACGAACCGCCAUCUCGCUGCUUCAACCUCCCACUCUCCUCGGUCGCUUCUUGAAUACCUUUUGCUUUUCUACCCAUCUUGUUGCAUCCAUUAUUGGCAAUGUUCUUUGGCGGCGUGGGAGAGGGGGCGCUCUUGAUGCAUCGCUUGAUGUGUUCGCUCCCGUUUCUCGUUUUGUUGUUGUCUUCUUUCAGCCGGCGCUUGCUGUUGAUUCCUGCAUCUCGUCUGAAUUCUCGCCAUGGUGUCGCAGAUCGUCAUGCGUCUUGGUUUUUCCUUCUUAGCUUGCUUGCUUGCUGUCAAGAAUCUCUUCAUUCCCUGCCAUCUUUUGUGCCCUUUUCAGGCUACAGCUCGUCCUAAAAUAAAACGACGGCAGCAGCGACACGCCUCGUGGAACUCCCUCCCGCGCCAUUUCUGUGUGCUGUCUGUGUCACCCUGCGCUGGUCAUUGACUGCUGCAUCGGUGGCUUCUCUUUUCUUUCCACCUGUGUGACCCAGUGGGAAGAGGAGAAGGAUUCGGCCGUUCACGUUGAGAUGCUCGCCUCGGUGCGCGCUUGUCGUGUGGGGGGCACGUAGCGCAACACUGCCCGUGCGCUUGUCUUCACGCCGUGUACUCGCUGCCGUUGGGUACACACGUGCACACACUCAUCGCGUGUUGUCCUUGUGCUCUCCUUGCACGUCCAUCUUCUGUUAGUCUAUC